GAAGUAAAAGUCGUAACAAGGUUUCCGUAGGUGAACCUGCGGAAGGAUCAUUAUCGAACGUUGUGGACUGCGCUUAGGCCUUUCAGCUCGGGCUUGAUCGCCCUUUUGAGCGGGCCUUGGCGUCUUUCCGCUUUACAAUCUCAACCCCCCUGUGCACCUUCUUAUUGCGGUGGUUAGCGGUGGRUAACGCUGCGAGCCCCGCUCUAACAAACUCUUUAUAACGUGACCUUGUAUGUAUCGUUUCUUGAUUGAAACCCACCUUAACAACUUUCAACAACGGAUCUCUUGGCUCUCGCAUCGAUGAAGAACGCAGCGAAAUGCGAUAAGUAAUGUGAAUUGCAGAAUUCAGUGAAUCAUCGAAUCUUUGAACGCACCUUGCGCCCGUUGGUAUUCCGACGGGCAUGCCUGUUUGAGUGUCUUGAAAUCAUCAACCCCCCUGGUUUGCGCUGGGUUCUCGGUUGGAGUUGGGGGUCUUUUUUUGCUGCCGAAAGGCGGCUCCCCUUGAAUGCGUCGGUUGGGUUCCUUAGGCUUUUGCGUCGAAAUGGGGCGUUGUAUUAUCCUCGCUCUCGCUAGACUGCGGCUUAGGUUUUGUUCCCUUCCUUGACUUAGCCUCUGGAGUGGCGGUCAAUACCAAAUCGAAUUCUGACCUCAAAUCAGGUAGGACUACCCGCUGAACUU
rnacentral:rRNA from 1 species